rnacentral:lncRNA from 1 species
AAAAUGUUGAAAUUGGACACUAUUUAAGAGUACAUUCUUAACCUUUAUAACCCUCCUUUACAAUUGUUUCUAAUUCGAAAUGUAGAACCAGUCAGACCACACCCGAUUGUUUUAGUCUUAAAUAGAUAUCGCAUGUAAUUUCAACACUUCCAGGAAUCCGAAGCAUCGCUAUUUAAAAGGGAUAGGCACGGAGGGAUGUAGUGGCACAUUGGAUGUAGGAAAAGCGGGCGUAUCUUUUCCCGGCUGCAGAAGGUAGAGGUUAAAAAGCUGUGGGAACGGGUCAGAGGAAAGAGGGGGGCGGGAGGAAUGGGAAAGGGUACAGUAGAAAGGCAGGCAGGGUGUUUUCUUAACGUAAAGGAAGAGUUAAAUCAGAAGUUAAUAGCUUAUUGUGAGUUAUUAAAACGAUAGCCUACACCGCCGAGAUCUGGGAAACCGAAAGUUAUCUAAUUAUAUAAGACAUAAACAAGAGAAGGAGACCUCGAUGUCGGGAAUAGGACACGGUCUGGAAUAGCACGUUCAUGGCAAGAAAUCUGAGCGCACUCGUUCUACAGUCAGACAGAGGUGAAGGAUGGAGGGAGAUACAGAGAAAGAGACAGCAGAGGAGAAGGAAGGUGAUGAUACAGAGCUGUCUGGUGAGGAAGGGGUGGGGCGACUUCAUCAGAGCGGAAGGUCCUCGGAUGAAGACCAGGACCUACCCAUCAUGCAGUGGGAGGACCUGAGCCUGCGUAUCGCCGAGCUAGAGAAACAGGAGGAGGAGAGGAGGGAGAGGGCAAAGAGUACGAGUGGGUCGGAACAGGGGAG